AACAAACGCUGGCGGCGUGCCUAACACAUGCAAGUCGGACGCGAAAGGGCUUUCGGGCCUGAGUAAAGUGGCGCACGGGUGAGUAACGCGUGGGUAAUCUGCCUCUAAGUUGGGAAUAACUCAACGAAAGGUGGGCUAAUACCGAAUAAUGCUGCAUGACUGCGGUUGUGCAGCCAAAGAUUGCCUCUGCUUGCAUGCUAUCGCUGCGAGUAUAGCCCGCGUACCAUUAGAUCGUUGGUCGGGUAAUGGCCUACCAAGGCUACGAUGGUUAGCUGAUCUGAGAGGAUGAUCAGCCACACUGGAACUGAGACACGGUCCAGACUCCUACGGGAGGCAGCAGUGAGGAAUCUUGCGCAAUGGGGGAAACCCUGACGCAGCAACGCCGCGUGAGUGAGGAAGGCCUUCGGGUCGUAAAGCUCUGUCGGGUGGAAAGAAACGUACGAAUGUUAAUAGCAUUUGUGCUUGACGGUACUGCCAAAGGAAGCACCGGCUAACUCCGUGCCAGCCGCCGCUGUAACAC
rnacentral:rRNA from 1 species